AUUGUUUUAAAGUAACUAUUCAACCUUAAAUUUUGUCUGUGUUACAAAUUUAGGAGGUGUAAAUUUUAAGUGCCUAUGCCUGAUGAGGAGCAGUUGCAAGUUUCUGGGAUUCAAAUAAAAGAAGAUCCUUACUUAUUUGCAGGGCUCCCUCCUAAAACAGCCACUUAGGAACAAGAGCCACUGAAAAGUGAUGGAUGUGCUCCCUUGACAACCCAUAGCAGGAACCAGCUUGUGUAGCAGUGACACUGCAAACUAAGGAAGCAGAAGCCAGAUACAUGCAUCCCUUGCCAGGGGGCUCCCAGUGGAGUCUUGUAGACUAUGUUACAGUGUGCCGUGGCUCCAAUUCAAUUCUAAGCUCUAGUUGUGUGACUAAAAGCCUAAAGGAGAAAAAGGAAAACAAGCCUCAAAGUCCUGCCUGCUUCUGUCUUCUGGCAAGAAACUAUGGCUAUACAUCCAGGAGGGCUGGAAGGGCUGAGUGGCAUUAUCAUUUUGUAACUCUCUUACUCACCAAAAACACAGGAGAGGUUUUCAAAUGAAUGUAUAUUCAUGAGGAAUAUUUUUUAAAGACAGUAGAAAGAAUUUUUUUAAAAAGCAGCAUCAUCACAAGGCCUAUUGGUUAUCUCUGUUCAGCAACACACAUUUAGGGGUCAUGUCAGAAAAUGGUAUAUGCUCAAAGGAUCUGCCUUCCUUUAGGUCACACCUUUACAUCAUCCACUUAUUCUGGAAACAAUAUUGUUCGUUCCCAUGGGCUGCUUAAGAUUUCUACGAUAUCACACUGACCAGAAUACUUUGAUAAGUUCCAUUGCUCAGGAUCCUGGAUUUUUGACUGGUCAAGCCCCAUCCAAGGAACUGCAGCACAAAAUAGAUGACUUAGAGGUCAAGAGCCUGGCUUUGAGCCAAAGAGACCAAUCAUUAGAAUUUUGGCCCUGCUCGUUACUACCUUGUGAUUUUGACAAAUUACUUUUCUUUCUAAGCCUCAGUUUCUUCUUCUAUAAACAAAGGCCAGAAAGAUACCUACUUCAUAGGAUUGUUACUAGGAUCAAAUGAGAAUGCCUAUAAAGUGCUUAGCAUAGUGCCUGGCACAUCGUAAGAUUUCAAUAAACGUUAAAUGCUUUCCCAUGCAAAACUGGUGGAAAUGUCUUUUUUGUUUCCAGGGCCUCUGUUCCUCUAGAGAAUUGUCAAGUGAUAAGAAUCUAUCCAGUACCAACAAGC
rnacentral:lncRNA from 1 species